rnacentral:lncRNA from 1 species
GAAUUUUCAUUCUAUCAAUGGUAGAAUUUUCAUUCUGCCAUUCUAUUUACCUGGAUUAGCUGUGGAUUCUUGGUGUUUCAGGAGAUCUUAAUUUCUGACUAUACCAGAGUUGUAUUUUGUCCUAAAAAGUGCCACUGGAGUACAUGUGCUGUGUUUCCACUACUUAUUCUUGCACUUUUAGCAAUGAAUCAGACACAGAUAGAAAUAUAUUUUGAAUAGCUAAAUGAAAAAAAGAAAAAAAAUGCUUUACUAAAAUCAGAGCCAUUUUAUUAUUUUAAACAUCAUGAUUAUGAUCAAAAGCAUCAUAAAAACCAUUAGUUGCAUCUUUUUUUCCUUAAUUAAAUAACCGAGAUAAUAUGUCUGCCAUAUCUCUAAGAGAAUCUUGUAUAAUGUGAAAUUGUAGGGAAUCUGCUUUGGUAAGAAAGAUUUAUCUUUUUAAAUACUAUCAAUCAAAAAAAAGAUCUGAU